GUGUUGCUUUGGCAGCACAUAUACUAAAAUUGGGAUGAUACAGAGAAGAUUAGCACAGCCCCUGGGCAAGAUAAGCCUUUUUGAUGAUUUAGCUACCCUUCUCAUUU